rnacentral:rRNA from 1 species
UACAGAGGGGGCAAGCGUUAUUCGGAAUUAUUGGGCGUAAAGGGCGCGUAGGCGGCCUGGCAAGUGACGGGUGAAAGCCCUCGGCUUAACCGAGGAACUGCCUGUCAGACUGUUAGGCUUGAGACCAGGAGAGGUGAGUGGAAUUCCGAGUGUAGAGGUGAAAUUCGUAGAUAUUCGGAAGAACACCAGUGGCGAAGGCGGCUCACUGGACUGGUAUUGACGCUGAGGUGCGAAAGCGUGGGGAGCAAACAGG